rnacentral:sRNA from 1 species
ACUACAUCUGGAAAACAAUGCUUGCUAACCAUGAACUCAAACAUCUGCUUGGCCUCGUCUAGACGAUCGUGCAUACAAAACUAGGAUCUAUGGACCUUUUGACCAUCUCGUCGUACAAUUUCUCAGCCUCUACAAGCUUCCCCUCCUUCACAAACGCAUCGAUCAAUGCGUUGAAAAAGACUAAAUCAGGGU